rnacentral:rRNA from 1 species
GUCAACGGUCAUAUCACGUUGUAAAGUACCAGUUCUCGUCCGAUCACUGAAGUCAAGCAACGUUGAGCAUGGUUAGUACUUGGAUGGGUGACCGCUUGGGAACACCAUGUGCUGUUGACA